AUUGAACGCUGGCGGCAUGCCUUACACAUGCAAGUCGAACGGCAGCACGGGAGCAAUCCUGGUGGCGAGUGGCGAACGGGUGAGUAAUAUAUCGGAACGUGCCCAGUCGUGGGGAUAACGUAGCGAAAGCUACGCUAAUACCGCAUACGAUCUAUGGAUGAAAGCGGGGGAUCGCAAGACCUCGCGCGAUUGGAGCGGCCGGAUAUCAGAUUAGGUUGUUGGUGAGGUAAAAGCUCACCAAGCCGACGAUCUGUAGUCUGGUUUGAGAGAACGACCAGCCACACUGGGACUGAGACACGG
rnacentral:rRNA from 1 species